CCAUUGCUCAAUUGGUAGAGCACAAGACUCUUAACCUUGUGGACGUGGGUUCAAGCCCCAUGAUGGG
rnacentral:tRNA from 1 species